AGAGCAUGUAACUCAGAGGAUAGAGUGCCAGAUUCCGGUUCUGGAAGUCGAGGGUUCAAGUCCUUCCUUGCUCUU
rnacentral:tRNA from 1 species